UGGGGAAUAUUGCACAAUGGGCGCAAGCCUGAUGCAGCAACGCCGCGUGAGGGACGACGGCCUUCGGGUUGUAAACCUCUUUUAGUAGGGAAGAAGCGAAGGUGACGGUACCUGCAGAAAAAGCACCGGCUAACUACGUGCCAGCAGCCGCGGUAAUACGUAGGGUGCGAGCGUUGUCCGGAAUUAUUGGGCGUAAAGAGCUCGUAGGCGGUCUGUCGCGUCUGCUGUGAAAACCCGAGGCUCAACCUCGGGCCUGCAGUGGGUACGGGCAGACUAGAGUGCGGUAGGGGAGAAUGGAAUUCCUGGUGUAGCGGUGGAAUGCGCAGAUAUCAGGAGGAACACCGAUGGCGAAGGCAGUUCUCUGGGCCGUAACUGACGCUGAGGAGCGAAAGCGUGGGGAGCGAACAGGAUUAGAUACCCUGGUAGUCCACGCCGUAAACGUUGGGCGCUAGAUGUGGGGACCAUUCCACGGUUUCCGUGUCGCAGCUAACGCAUUAAGCGCCCCGCCUGGGGAGUACGGCCGCAAGGCUAAAACUU
rnacentral:rRNA from 1 species